UGCGGAAGUGCAGAACUGGUAGCCAUUACACGAAUAUGUGACUCCGUUAUCUGUUAUCUAGCGUCUUCGGAUCGGACGGGAAAAUAUGUUUCGUAUUUUUACGGAAACACUCAAGUGCACACUGUUAUUUUCUUGGUUUAUCGAUUGAGAAAUUGGUACCAAGAUGAUUUUCCUAAGACUGUUCUGUAUCUUUGCCACUGUUAAGAGCGACGUCUCAGGAGAGAUUCACAAUCUUCAUUACAUUUACACCGCCCUUUCGAAGCCCAUCAGUCAACCAGGAGUCUCUCAGUUCGCCGCUAUGGGAGUUCUGGACGACAGGCCAAUUGACAUCUACAACAGCGAAGACAAGGUCAAGAGGCCGUUGCAAAAAUGGAUGGAAGAACAUAACGAGAAAGACUACUGGGAGAAAGGCACACAGUCCCGCAAGAGCAAGGAACAGUGGUUUGACGUCAACAUCAAAAUCCUGAUGGAACGCAUGCACCAGAACAAAUCAGAUCCAGAUGUCCAUAUUCUACAGUGGAUGCAUGGCUGCCAGGUGGAAAAGACAACUGAUGGCAAGCUGAAGUUUCGUAAUGGUUUUGACCAGUACGGCUAUGAUGGCGAGGACUUCCUGUCCUUCGACAGUGAGAACAUGGUGUGGGUGGCCCCUGUCCCUGCAGCUGAAUCCACCAAGCAGAAAUGGAACAACGUGCCUAUCCUCAGCCAGUACACCAAGGGUUACCUACAGACGGACUGUGUGCACUGGCUGGAGAAAUUUCUGAAGUACCAAGACCUAGAGCUCAAAACUUUCUCUCCUCCUAAGGUACAUCUUUUUUCGAAGAAGUCCACCAGCCCUGACUACCACACCCUGGUGUGUUUCGCCACCGGAUUCUACCCCAAAGAUCCGGCGGUAAACAUCCUGAAGGACGGUGUGCCAUUGGCCGAAUCGGACGGGGUCGCCUCUUCGGGGAUGAGACCCAAUGGAGACCGUAAGGAGACGUACCAGCUGAGGAAGUGGCUGGAGAUCAAGGCAUCAGGCACCUCACAGUACAGUUGCAGAAUCCAGCACCGAACCCUGCUGAGUCCGAUCGAAGAAUCCUGGGAUGGAAAGUGCCGUAACUGCGACGGUGACAACACAGGCGCCAUUGUUGGUGGCGUUGUUGUUUUGCUCAUCGUCUUGGUGGCGGUGCUUGUGGGCCUGUACGUUUGGCACAAGAAAAAGAAAGGAGUAAGAUCGGAGACAAACGGACCAAACGGCUCUGUGGAAUUAGGGGAUUCUGGUAAUGUUCACUGCCUUUUGAGUAUGAAAAUGCAUGAAGAAAUGAUUUUAUCAGAUUUAAUGUGUGUGCAGGAUAUGAGUCUGAUUAAGCACCUUUCCUGUUCUUCUAGGGAGGGCGUCCCCUGCCUCUGGUGGACCCAAAGAAGAAGUGAAUGAGCACUUGAUGGUCAAUGCAGAGGGCGAACAGCAGCCACAGCUUGAAGCCGCUGAAGUAGUGUGACUGGUUUGGUCUGGUGGCACUUCAGUGAACUUUUGGGCUGCGGAGGGUGAUGCGUCUGUGACCGCGAGAUCUGACGAGACCGGCUGCCACAUCCCACUAUCCCCUCCACUCUGCUUACUAGGAGACACAUCCAACAUCAACCUAAACAACACAUCCAGUAGAAUACUCCCCAUAGCCUUAAUCAUCGCCAAGAAAAUGAUCCUCAUCAACUGGAAACCAAGGAAAAAAAUCAAUAUUGCACUUUGGAAAAAUCUACUAAUCGAAUACAUAUCAAUGGAAAUUUUUAAUUCCCACACUGACUUCACUCAUCACCCCUUUUUGACUGUCCACCAUCCACAAUAAACAUGCUCACCGUCACUCACAUACACAUAUCCGCCAUUAUACCUACACCACAAUCCCUACCAAAUUUAGAAUCUGACAUACACUUGCACACACACAGGCAUCAUACACCUACA